rnacentral:lncRNA from 1 species
UGGAUAUGGAGUCUUGCUCUGUUUUCCAGGCUGUAGUGCAGUAGCACCAUCUCGGCUCACUGCAACCUCUACCUCCCAAGUUCAAGCCAUUCUUCUGCCUCAGCCUCCCAAGUAGCUGAGACUACAAGCACCACCACACCCAGCUAAUUUUUGUAUUUUUAAUAGAGACAAGGUUUUGCCAUGUUGGCCAGGCUGAUCUCAAACUCCUGACCUCAAGUGAUCCACCCACCUCCCAAAGUGCUGGGAUUACAGGCGUGAGCCACCAUGACCUGGCUAAGAUAAGCUUGUCAUCUUCCCUGCUGGAGGCUGAGAUUGAUGUGAAGACCUUACAGUUUGGGGCAAAAAAAUGUAAACUGAAGUGCUAAGCAACAAAUCCUAUCAGCUAUAAAGAGCAUUAAAGUCCCAUUACUGCUACUUUCUUGGAAAUAGUUAAAGGAGUCUCAUAAAUAUGAGCAGAAAUAAAAUUCAGAAUACAAAAGAAAGCACCUCUAUGCCUACAGGUUUCCUUUCAAGCAUUGCUCUACAUUUCUGGGCUGAGGAAGAGGAAG